AUUGAACGCUGGCGGCAGGCUUAACACAUGCAAGUCGAGCGGAGAUGAGGUGCUUGCACCUUAUCUUAGCGGCGGACGGGUGAGUAAUGCUUAGGAAUCUGCCUGUUAGUGGGGGACAACAUUCCGACAGGAAUGCUAAUACCGCAUACGCCCUACGGGGGAAAGCAGGGGAUCUUCGGACCUUGCGCUAAUAGAUGAGCCUAAGUCGGAUUAGCUAGUUGGUGGGGUAAAGGCCUACCAAGGCGACGAUCUGUAGCGGGUCUGAGAGGAUGAUCCGCCACACUGGGACUGAGACACGGCCCAGACUCCUACGGGAGGCAGCAGUGGGGAAUAUUGGACAAUGGGCGGAAGCCUGAUCCAGCCAUGCCGCGUGUGUGAAGAAGGCCUUUUGGUUGUAAAGCACUUUAAGCGAGGAGGAGGCUACUUAGAUUAAUACUCUAGGAUAGUGGACGUUACUCGCAGAAUAAGCACCGGUUAACUCUGUGCCAGCCGCCGCAGUAACAC
rnacentral:rRNA from 1 species